UGGGAAUGUUCAGGGGGGUAAUUUAAAGACAUUAGUUAAAAAACAUUAUUUAUCCUCUGGAUGAAGGGACAAUAUCUGGCAUCCAGCCUAAGGGGUUGGGUUUUUUUUUUUUCCUUACUUUCCAGUGAUCAGGAAAGUUUGUGCAAGGGAAUCACAAAACAGAGAAUGCAGAAUCUUUUGGGAGCAUGGUCUUUGACACAGCAAUCAUCCUAUUUCCCCUUCUGAUCACGUCCUGGUUCUCUUAGCAGCAUGGCCAGACAUCACACAAAGCUGGUGAUGAGUGGGGAUGACUACAGGACCUUCCAAGUCACAAAGUGAAACCCAAAGAUUCGUGGUCUGUCUAUAUUAGUCUGCUGAGGCCUGGAUGAACUCUCUGAAGAUAUGCCUCCCCAUAUUCCACAUUGAACAGCUUUGGACGUUGGAGCUGAACUCUUCACCUGCCAAGGGGCGAUUGCUGUCAUCGUUCCUCCUGUAUGAAAGCCAAAAGGAAGCUCCCUUUUGAUUGAUCCAGGCCUUACAUCCCUUGAAGAGAAGAUAAGGACACAGAAGAAUGCUUCACCACUGGGGUCACUGCUGAGCUUUAUAACCAGGCCAUAAAUUGACCACCUACUCUCUCUGCUCUGCAGGCUCUCCCUGGUCACUGAGAGCUCAUCACCCACAGCCUUGACAACGCACUGACACUUUCCUGCAUGGUCCCAGACACUGCCCAGUCUGGCAGCAGUGUCACCUCUUGGCAUUAACUCUCACGGGAAGAGGAAGAAGCAGGGAAGUAUUUGUUAGCCCCAAACCAGCAGCUGACUGUAACUGCUCUGCCAGAUGCAGACCUUAGGAAAAGUUUUUUCUGUGCAUGCCCCCUCAUCAUAAACCAUCUCCUCUUGCUACUGAGGUCUCGUUUGCUGAAAAAGAUAAGAAGAGGUGUGUAUUGAAGCACAGCUCAAAUUCCAGAAGUAAUUUGUCGAAGCUCCUGGGUUUUACAUACAGGCAGGACAGAAAACUGGCAACUUCAGAUGAAGCAAUAGAGUCUCAGAGUGACUUCACUUCUACAGGUGCAACUACUUUAUAGGGACUGAAUGUUACAAUAAUCCAGUAUGCUAAAGAAACAGGAUGGGUACAAGGAGCUCAUGUGUGUCUGCUCAUUACUGAGCUGAGAGUUUUAUCCCUUCUCUGUGUGAUGUGUAAUUGCUGAGUUAGACCACUGGCUCUGCAAUGGGGUGUCAGCUUGGAUGGGUUACCUAUUCCUUGCAGCCUAUUUUGUAUGUACAUGCUGCUUUCAGCCUGGCUACCCAACCCCCUGGCCAUGUCCCAUGUUACUGACUGCCAGAAUGGAUCAGGACUCCGAGUACAUCUAAGGGCUGUCACGGGCUCAGUGGCAUUCCCACAGCUCAGCUGGGUCACUAGAAAUGCCAUUGUGCCAGAUCAUGGCAAAUAUGGAGAAAAUAAAAUACACAAAGGGCCAGAUCUGCUCUCUGUGCCCAGCAUCCUGUUGCUCUGGAAAUCUUGGUGACCUGGGAGUAGGAACACACAAGUGACUAUGUACUCUGCCUGGAGAGACCUGGUGUGAGCUAGGAACUGCUCACAAUAUGCUGGUUUCUGUCAGAUGUUGUUCAGCCCUGCCAUUUCUGAAGACCUGGAGACAUUCUUGAGUCUCUGAGAGUGCACUAUCUGUUCUGAAUAAAGUAAUCUUACUAAUCCCUA